CAGGUAGUCAAGAUGAGAAUUCUAAGGUGAGCGAGCGAACUCUCGUUAAGGAACUCGGCAAAAUGACCCCGUAACUUCGGGAGAAGGGGUGCUCUUUAGGGUUAACGCCCAGAAGAGCCGCAGUGAAUAGGCCCAAGCGACUGUUUAUCAAAAACACAGGUCUCUGCUAAACCGUAAGGUGAUGUAUAGGGGCUGACGCCUGCCCGGUGCUGGAAGGUUAAGAGGAGUGGUUAGCUUCUGCGAAGCUACGAAUCGAAGCCCCAGUAAACGGCGGCCGUAACUAUAACGGUCCUAAGGUAGCGAAAUUCCUUGUCGGGUAAGUUCCGACCCGCACGAAAGGCGUAACGAUUUGGGCACUGUCUCAACGAGAGACUCGGUGAAAUCAUAGUACCUGUGAAGAUGCAGGUUACCCGCGACAGGACGGAAAGACCCCGUGGAGCUUUACUGUAGCCUGAUAUUGAAAUUCGGCACAGCUUGUACAGGAUAGGUAGGAGCCUUUGAAACGUGAGCGCUAGCUUACGUGGAGGCGCUGGUGGGAUACUACCCUAGCUGUGUUGGCUUUCUAACCCGCACCACUUAUCGUGGUGGGAGACAGUGUCAGGCGGGCAGUUUGACUGGGGCGGUCGCCUCCUAAAAGGUAACGGAGGCGCUCAAAGGUUCCCUCAGAAUGGUUGGAAAUCAUUCAUAGAGUGUAAAGGCAUAAGGGAGCUUGACUGCGAGACCUACAAGUCGAG
rnacentral:rRNA from 1 species